UCAUCACAUGUGCAUUUGCAACACAUUGGCGGAGGCAAUACGAACUGCAUUUCUCGCUAGCUGGACAAAUCGGAAUGGCAAUGCAUCUUGGAGAACAAGACUCGAAUUGUGAAAGUCUGGUGGUUUUCGCCAAGUUUCACAGAACUUUGUUUUAUGUCAAGAUGGGCUAACACCAUGUCACCUGAUGCUGUCACUCUCUGUUCUAUCUGCAUCCCCUCUCGCCUCACACGUAAGCCUCACUGCAGUUUCUGCAGUGCUUCUGAGGGGAGUCACGGAUAAUUGCAGCUGUCAAGUGGCUAAUGUGACAACGGCCAGGGAGCUCCAGAGGGCAUUGUGCACACUCGAUGCGCCUAUGUGCCAGCCUUCCCUAUGAGCCACUACUUGUGCAGGGUGCCAUGGAUAAUGGAGAAGAUAGGGAAGUACAGGCUAGCAUCGCUGUCCAAGAUCCAUCCGGCAGCUUCUCUGUCACAGGUCCAUGUGUCCUAACUGCUGGUCUUCAAUGGGAGUUGACACUAGGAGGUAAACGCACCUCGUCUGUAAAAGAAGACUGUGCAAACAUACCCAGGACUUUCUAGUUAUGUCUGUGGUUUCAAUGUUGUGAUCAGAAGUCAUGUAUGAAGCGAACCCAGCUUACAGUAUUAUAGCCAGAAUACAAUGGUUUAGUAACAUUGAA